GGGGCCGCACAAGCAGCGGAGCGUGUGGUUAAUUCGAUGCUACACGAGAACCUUACCUGGAUUUGACAUGUACGUAGUAGUGAACCCGAAAGGGGAACGAGCCUUCGGGCAGCGUGCACAGGUGCUGCAUGGCUGUCGUCAGCUCGUGCCGUGAGGUGUUGGGUUAAGUCCCGCAACGAGCGCAACCCUCGUCGCUAGUUACAUGUGUCUAGCGAGACUGCCAGGUUAACCCUGGAGGAAGGUGGGAUGACGUCAAGUCAGCAUGGCCUUUAUGUCCAGGGCUACACACACGCUACAAUGGUCGGUACAAUGGGAUGCCAAGCCGCGAGGCGGAGCAAAUCCUCAAAGCCGGCCUCAGUUCGGAUUGGAGGCUGCAACUCGCCUCCAUGAAGUCGGAGUUGCUAGUAACCGCAGGUCAGCUAUACUGCGGUGAAUACGUUCUCGGGCCUU
rnacentral:rRNA from 1 species